rnacentral:rRNA from 1 species
CCUACGGGUGGCAGCAGUGGGGAAUAUUGCACAAUGGGCGCAAGCCUGAUGCAGCCAUGCCGCGUGUGUGAAGAAGGCCUUCGGGUUGUAAAGCACUUUCAGCGGGGAGGAAGGCGGUGAGGUUAAUAACCUCAUCGAUUGACGUUGCCCGCAGAAGAAGCACCGGCUAACUCCGUGCCAGCAGCCGCGGUAAUACGGAGGGUGCAAGCGUUAAUCGGAAUUACUGGGCGUAAAGCGCACGCAGGCGGUCUGUCAAGUCGGAUGUGAAAUCCCCGGGCUCAACCUGGGAACUGCAUUCGAAACUGGCAGGCUAGAGUCUUGUAGAGGGGGGUAGAAUUCCAGGUGUAGCGGUGAAAUGCGUAGAGAUCUGGAGGAAUACCGGUGGCGAAGGCGGCCCCCUGGACAAAGACUGACGCUCAGGUGCGAAAGCGUGGGGAGCAAACAGGAUUAGAUACCCCAGUAGUC